rnacentral:rRNA from 1 species
AUUGAACGCUGGCGGCAUGCUUUACACAUGCAAGUCGAACGGUAACAGGCCGCAAGGUGCUGACGAGUGGCGAACGGGUGAGUAAUGCAUCGGAACGUGCCCAGUCGUGGGGGAUAACGCAGCGAAAGCUGCGCUAAUACCGCAUACGAUCUAUGGAUGAAAGCGGGGGACCGUAAGGCCUCGCGCGAUUGGAGCGGCCGAUGUCGGAUUAGGUAGUUGGUGGGGUAAAGGCUCACCAAGCCGACGAUCUGUAGCUGGUCUGAGAGGACGACCAGCCACACUGGGACUGAGACACGGCCCAGACUCCUACGGGAGGCAGCAGUGGGGAAUUUUGGACAAUGGGGGCAACCCUGAUCCAGCAAUGCCGCGUGCAGGAAGAAGGCCUUCGGGUUGUAAACUGCUUUUGUACGGAACGAAACGGCUCUGGUUAAUACCUGGGGCUAAUGACGGUACCGUAAGAAUAAGCACCGGCUAACUACGUGCCAGCAGCCGCCGUAAUAC